ensembl:lncRNA
GUGGAACAGUGAACAUGAGCCAUUCUGGGAAAACACUAGUUUCACUUUCAUUCUUAUGGUCCGUAAUCGUUCACAUAUCUGAAUUUACUCACUCAGACUUCAGACUUCACUUCACUUCACUUCAGACUUUGAGCUGGGGACAAUCUCAUCAGAGGUGAAAAUGACAAUUGGCAGCAUCUUCAUUGGAAUAUGGAAAAAACAUUUUACUCUUAUAUCAAUGUCGUUAUGCUCACUCAUUUUGGUAGUGCUUGAAAAGAUAAUGGAAUCUGAGUUUAAAUGCCCAGAAAACCUGACGUGGAGAGUUUGUUACAGCCUGGUCUAUUUCAUUAUACCAGCUCUGACUUUGUUUAUAUUAGGCAUAAUUUUCCAGCCAGGGUGUCUAUGCCAUUGUUAUAGAGCAAACGAUUUCUGCGACUUUGACAAAAAAUGCUGUACAGACAAGUGCAAGUGUGACUGUGGCUGCUGUUGCAUUAUUUUAAAGGCUGUUUUCCCUGCUCUGUUGUGGAUAGUGAUCCUUCUUCUGGAUGGAAGAUAUGCUGACUGCUUCCGGGAGAACAUCACAGGAGAAAACCCACGUCAAUCAAUUACUGCUUAUCAGAUUUGCCAGGUCACGGGUCUCGUUGGCAUAUUGGCUCUUGUCGGUAUUGGUUCAAUAUGCAUGUGCUGCUGCAAGAAGGGCGACAGAAAAAAGAUAACAGUGGAUGAAGCUGAAAGCAGGAUUCUACUAGAGCAAAAAGCUCAUGAGUAUAUUUUAAAACAGAAGGAAGAGGCUAUCUGGCAAUUAUUUAAGAAACGCCUAAAUGAUGAAUACUUAGCUGACCCGGAAACAAUUUCGAUAUCUAUUGCCAAUGAAAAGAUAUCUGGUAUAAUAGAUAGAGUUUGUAACAUUUCAAGAGAAGGCUCAGCUGACCAAGAAGGAAUAGUCAACACUUCACCUCAGGAGACCUCCAAUCUGUUACCUCAAGGGACCGCCAAUCCUUUACAUCAAGGGACCUCCAAUCCAUCACCUCCAGAGAUAUCAGAAAUAUCAAGUUGUCCAAGGGUGUGAGUUUUUCUGUAUUUUAAUAUGACACCACAGAAAGACUGGUAACUGAUGCAUAUACCAGUAACAAUACCAAACCAUGACUACACAGCAACUGCAAUCUACUAAAUGCACAAAAACCAAAGUGGAAAAUAAGGAAGGACAUGCAUCCCCAGCAGUUCUGCUCCUCCAGCCUCCCCUCCAGUUCUUGGCUUCCUCUCCCAGGCUAGGAGGGCUGUAGUGGGCUCCCCUCCCCCAUUCCAGGCUGGGGAGGGUGGCUCCAGGGGCUCCUCACCCUCCUCUGCCAGGCUGGAGCUCCAGGGAGGGCAAAGUGGAGGAGCUAUCCUGUCCUGUUGUUCACAGGAAGGGAGGAGGAAAUGGCAGUGGAGCCACCUUGAACUGUUGGGCUCUUUAGUUCUCUCUUCCUCUUUCCCCUCCCAUGAGAAUGGUGUCUGGAUGCCGAGGCGGUGGGGAGGGAGAGAGAGCUCUGAGUGCAAAGUGCCAGAUCUGUAGCAGCACUACAGCUCUGCUGGAUGAGAUUUCCUGAGGUAUGUGUAAACAUGUGACACAGGGUUCAGAUGUGUAAGUCUUACAACUCAGGUGUGAGAACUGAAGUGUCAGAGAUCUCCAGUCCUUCAUUUUACAAGGUCUCCAGUUCUUCACUGUAAGAGAUCUCCAACCCUUCACCUUAAGGGUUCUCCAGUUCUCCACUUCAAGAGGUCUCAAUACCUUCAUCUCAAAGGAUCUCCAACCUUUCACCUCAAGAGGUCUCAAAACUUUCAUCUCAAGGAUUUCUGAUUUCUAAUAGUUGUGUAAUCUAUAAGGGAAAAGGUACAACACAACCUCAUAACCCGCUUCUCUCAAUUUCAGAACAGCAGAAAUGUAAAACAAAGAGAAAUUAAAAUUAAGGAUGAUUAAAACUCUGUCCAUAUCUAGUUAAACAAUGGCCAUAGGGUGACCACUCAUCAUUAAAAUAUCUUCCGAUGGCCAAGUAAGUUUUUGAAAUGUAGGUAGAAGUUUGAGGUAACCACAGUGAUUUGUGUUCAGGAAGAAAAUCCGAGAGAUUGCCAAUAAUCUGCUCAAGUUAAAUAGUUUAAAUACAAGGCUUACCUAGCAAACAUGACUCAGCUGUUUUUCACAUGCACUAGAUUUGCUUUAGCAUUUACUUUAAUAUUUUUAUGUGCAAGGCAUUUAAAAAUAAAGGCACUCUGAAACUCA